rnacentral:lncRNA from 1 species
GCAUAAGGAUCAUUUGUUAUGUUGAUCAAAACUCCAUUUGGGCCUUGGAAAUAAAUGAAAAUUGGACAUGAAGUGUAGGGUGCAAAACAUGCAUAUGUGAGAUAUUCAAAAUUGGCCAAAGUUCAAUCCCUUCUGUCUCAUUGAUACAAGAUCCAAAUGACACAAUCAUCAACCUGAAAGUUGUAGAUCUUUUCAAGGCAAUCAAUUUGGCCUUAAAUUUUG